rnacentral:lncRNA from 1 species
AAAAAAUAUUUUGUUCAAGAUAGAAGAAUAUUGAAUAUUUUUUAUAUCUUAGAAUCCAUCCCAACGUACGAUGCGUACAAGUUUGGAGCGACUAUGUAUAAGUUAGGUUUAGAGUAAAAUUUGAUUAACGGAUUUCUUAUAGUAAAACUUGAUUAUCUAAUCCCUCUGUUAUUAAAGAUAACCGAAGAAAUAGAUUAUUAAUUAAAAAA